UACAACACUCACAAGCAAGUCCUCAAAUAGUAGUUGGUUGGAUGCACUGUUAUGCCUAGACAAAGUUGGUCUUUCACAAUUGAACUAUGUCAGACUACUGCCAUAAAAUCUUGUCGUAUCUCAGUCAGACAGUGGCAACACUACACGACGUAUAUUCCUAUACCGCCAUAUCCCUUUUUUUUUUACGAUUGCUGGGCUUUAUCUUGUCAAAUCAAACACUGUUGGGGAGGCGUGGCCAGAAAAAUGUGUCACCUUUCACCGCAACUGGAUACAACCGUUACCAUGGCGACAAAAAGUUGUUGUCAAACAAUGGAUCGCCGCGUGAAAAUGUUGGGGGGGGGGUGUGCUGGGGAGACGACGUUUUCAGCUGUCAAUUCAGGGAUUGCUUGAGCUUGCUUUCUUUAGCAACAUUCGACAAUUUGUGCCGGCGCUGCUGCGGAGAAAGACAGCUGUAAUUUCCCUCCCUGACGCCCCCUCCGCAUAGCGCCCGACCCCCACCACUCGUGGAUUCUGUUGAAUCCCGCGGUAGC